GUCCCCAUCGUCUAGGGGUUAGGACGUCACCCUUUCAAGGUGAAAACACGGGUUCGAAUCCCGUUGGGGACGCCA
rnacentral:tRNA from 1 species